CAAGCGGUGGAGCAUGUGGUUUAAUUCGACGCAACGCGAAGAACCUUACCAGGGAUUGACAUCCCCUGACCGGAUAUGAAAGUAUCCAUUUCUCUUCGGAGGACAGGGAGACAGGUGGUGCAUGGUUGUCGUCAGCUCGUGUCGUGAGAUGUUGGGUUAAGUCCCGCAACGAGCGCAACCCUUACGUUCAGUUGCUAACGGUUAAAGCCGAGCACUCUGGAUGAACUGCCGUUGAUAAAACGGAGGAAGGUGGGGAUGACGUCAAAUCAUCAUGCCCCUUAUACCCUGGGCUACACACGUGCUACAAUGGUCCGUACAGAGGGCUGCGACCCGGCGACGGGAAGCGAAUCCCUUAAAGCGGGUCUCAGUUCGGAUUGCAGGCUGCAACCCGCCUGCAUGAAGUCGGAAUCGCUAGUAAUCGCAGGUCAGCAUACUCGCGGUCGAAUACGUUCCGGGCCUU
rnacentral:rRNA from 1 species